rnacentral:ncRNA from 1 species
GGUCUCCAACGAGCUGUGCUGAGAGGCCACGCGGGAUUGGGAGAGGCUUCACCUUGUGUGUUGCCAUUCCAUCCACUUCUGGUACCGGGCAUCGGUCUGCCAGGGUUGUGCGCAUUGCGGCGCCGCCCGGGACCGAAGGCACGGGGACGA